AUUGAACGCUGGCGGCAUGCCUUACACAUGCAAGUCGAACGGCAGCACGGGAGCAAUCCUGGUGGCGAGUGGCGAACGGGUGAGUAAAGUAUCGGAACGUGCCCAGUCGUGGGGGAUAACGUAGCGAAAGUUACGCUAAUACGGCAUACGAUCUAUGGAUGAAAGCGGGGGAUCGCAAGACCUCGCGCGAUUGGAGCGGCCGAUAUCAGAGUAGGUAGUUGGUGGGGUAAAGGCCCACCAAGCCGACGAUCUGUAGCUGGUCUGAGAGGACGACCAGCCACACGGGGACUGAGACACGGCCCAGACUCCGACGGGAGGCAGCAGUGGGGAAUUUUGGACAAUGGGCGAAAGCCCGAUCCAGCCAUGCCGCGUGCAGGAUGAAGGCCUUCGGGUUGUAAACUGCUUUUGUACGGAACGAAAAGGACUGCCCUAAUACGGUGGUCCCAUGACGGUACCGUAAGAAUAAGCACCGGCUAACUACGUGCCAGCCGCCGCCGUAA
rnacentral:rRNA from 1 species